AUAAAACAUCUAUGGGUGACGUUUUUGGAUAGAGAAGUUCCCAAUACACUUGUUGUUAUUUUAUUUUUGUCUUCAUUUUUUGUAAUUAUUUGUUAGUAUUUUAUUGUAUUUUUUAAAUAUUUUUUUUCAAUACACGUGUUUGCCACAGGGGACGUCCAAUAACUACACCGGUGUUUUACUGAUAAGGCAAGUCGGUAGGAUAUAGGCUGUAAUGGACUACCAGGGGUAUUAGAGGAAUAAUAUAAUCAAUUAUACAAAUUCAGGAGCUAAUCAGAGAACAGUGGACAGUUGGAAAAUAAUUAAUGGCACGGACCCGGUGAUGCCAAAGCUAACCCACCUGACAACGCAAACACAGCAGGAUCAAACUCAGCCUCGACAUUCAGAUGGGUUCGCCAUGAUAUCACCCAUUGAAUCGCGACGGAGUAAACUACACAUGAUGGUUCAGAAAGAAGAGGAGGACAUACAGAGAAGCUAGGUGGUGCUGUGAGGCCAGGGAGAGGCACCUGGUGGAGUUAAGCCAAGCUAAACUGCAGAAACAGAGUCCAGGAGUACAGGGAGGGGAGGAGAGAGGAGGAGAACACAGCAAGACAGCUGAAGAAGGGGGAACAGAGGAUGAAGUUUCUCGCUCUCUCGCUCUCAUGUUCUUCCCCUCAGAGUGACAUCUUGGGAGAGAAAGAGAGAGAGAUCAGGAGGAGAAGAGGAGCGAAUUGAGAAGGGGGAUAUCAGCCUUAUUGGACCGACUGCAGGGUGGGGGCAAAGGGGUUGCAUAGGGGCAGAUGGAGGUACAGCUCCCCCUUGUGGCCGUGGAAGAAGACAGCAUUGUCUGAUAGACCCAUAGCCAGACCUCCAGACCAGAGGACACCUUCACAUUCCCUGACCCAGCACACAACACCUCAGAGUGGCGAGAGGAGACCGUCAUCUGUCCUUCCAAGCUGAACCACAUGACCCAGCAGAGAGCAUCUUUGGAGUGUCCUGUCUGACUGAGAUGAACGGGCUUGGUCUGGGAUGAGACUGUCAUCCUAAUGUCUCGUCUGUGUGUGUGCCUGUGUGGGAUCAGAUGAGGCUGUGGCGUUUAGAAAAUAAAGCAGGACUCUGUGUGUCUGUCAUCGUUUCUCAUUACAAGGAACAUUCACUCCAAAAUCUAACUUUUCAAAAGGUUUCAUAACUCAUAAAGGAGUCUAAAGUCGAGUCAAUUUCCACGCCAUCUGUUGCGCAGAUCCUGCUGUAUGCAGAAUAAAUAUCCAGCUUUUAUUUCGGGUUUGAUAGGCCAGGGUAUGGUAUGUCUAUCUCCUAAACCCCGUUGUUCAGAGACCUAAAGGAUCACACUGUGUGUGGCAUAACACUCCACGAGAGGAGUUGUCUUGCUUUCCCAGGCUUGUCAAGAGACCGCAACAAAGGCUUUCUUUGUUAACUAAUAUGAAAGGAAAAAUCAUAAAUAUGGAUGAUUGUUAAAAGUAGUCAUUACAUGAACAACUGCCUUAUAAACACUGAACUGUCUGAACUGAACUGUCCUGUAGAUCCAGACUUUGAGUGGGUUAUGCUGAAGCUUCAGAAUAGCUUCUUGUUCUGUGAGAGAUCUUUUCUGGAGGACAUCAUCAUUCAGUGUAACGGAGACUAUCAACAGGCAUGUGUGCUAGUCUAAUGACAACCCUUGUCAUUCAGUGUUUCCAACAUAUACAUGGGUAACUUCAAGGGUACCUACUCUGUCAUUAAGUAUAACAGAGAUAAUCAAUUUGACUGCUCAUUUUUUUUACGACACUUUCUUUUGUGUGAUAAGGAAAAAUCAGCUUUUUAGCCAUUAUUAGUGUAAACUGUUAGUACUCUAUCUUUGUCAUAUCUUAGUAAUAAUAAUAUUGUGAAAUAAUAAUAAUAAUAAUAAUAUUGUGAUACUAGAUAAUUUCUUCGCACAACAAUGACUCAUAUUUUCCAUUGUCUCUGACAGUGAUUUAGGAUGAUGUGCGUUUUACAAAAUAACUGUAGGUCACUGGGAUGAGUCAGCAUCUCUAUAUGCAUUUGGCUUUUAACAAGUUCAAUGUGUUGUAAUGGAAACAUCUGUCCAGGAAGAGAUGCUGUUUUCUGUUUGUCUGUAUAAAGACUAAUCCCAAUGAUAUGUUGACUAUCCAUUACAUGCUUCCUGACUGGAAGAAUGGACAUCAAUGGAUUGUUUCCUUUAAUGUCUCCUGUUAGAUCAUGUAUUAGGUCUUUAUGAUCAGUGUGAUCUCUUGUUUUUACUGUUUCCUUUAAUGUCUCCUGUUAGAUCAUGUAUUAGGUCUUUAUGAUCAGUGUGAUCUCUUGUUUUUACUGUUUCCUUGUUUGAAUCAGUAUUGUAAUGUUUGGGUCAGCUAUCCAGGGCUGUGUUUAAUAAAUGGGUGUUAAA